CAGACUCCUGGUGAUUACAGUCAGUGCCACACAGAUUAUCACUUAGUGGUUCCAUCAUUAAAACACUCCUGGAAUGUAUUUAUUUGAGGAGUAGCAGGAAGAAGAAAGAGAAGGAAGCAGGCUAGGCGUGGUGGCUCAUGCCUGUAAUCUCAGCACUUUGGGAGGCCGAGGCAGGCAGAUCACGAAGUCAAGAGAUCAAGACCAUCCUGGCCAACAUGGUGAAACUCCAUCUCUGCUAAAAAUACAAAAAUUAGCCGGGCGUGGUGGCGUGCACCUGUAAUCCCAGCUACUCAGGAGGCUGAGGCAGGAGAAUUGCUUGAACUCUGGAGGCGGAAGUUGCAUUGAGCCAAGAUUGCACCACUGCACUCCAGCCUGGGUGACAGAGCGAGACUCCAUCUCAAAAAAAAAAAGAAAAAAAAGAGAAAAAAGAAAGAAAGAGAAGAAGCAGAGGAGAAGAGGGAAGAGGAGAAGAAACCAACUAUUCUAUAGAAACAAAAUGAAAUCUAAAAUUCUAUGCAAACUUUAAAAAAUAACUUACCUAGUACAGCUGACUCCUGGUUCAAUAGUGAGGAAAUAUUGGUUGGAGAAUUCAGUGAUAAAGAAUCAUUUGAAUUGUAAUAAGAGAAGAGGGAUGUAGAGGAUGUUGGCAACAGAGAAGAAGGAAAAACAGUUCCAUCUUGCUUCUCAGGUAAAUCAAGAGACAUCUUAGAACUGGUACCACUUGGAGGCCAUGAUGAAAAAUAAGGAUUUUCCACUAAAGGUAUGUAAGAAUAUACACCAAGAGCACUAGAGUCAUGGUGCUUUACAUUAGAGGCAUUACGUAUUUGGUGUUUAGAGUCAUACGGCAGUGAAUAAUUCAGUUCUGCUGAAGAAACAUGCAUUACUUUUUGAGCCUGCAUCUCUACAAAACAAGAAUCA
rnacentral:lncRNA from 1 species